rnacentral:tRNA from 1 species
AGUGGCGUUGCUAAUAUUGGAUAAGAGACGGACUUAUAAACCGUUAAAGCGAACACCAGAUAAGUGUUGUAAUGUGGGUUCGAUUCCCACCGCCACUA